ACGUGAAUUGAUAUCCUGCAAAAUUAUUGAAGAUAUCAGCACUGGACCCUGAGCAGUGCAUGGCCUGCAAGAUCAUGAGAAGGCUGAAGAACCAGGAGUGACAAGAUACCACUGGAUGGUGGGGCACAUAAUUCCACUCAAGGACAGUGAUCUGAAAAUGUCUGUUUACCAACGGUCCCCAUCCAACCUGACAGAGCGUGUGAGGAUCUGCAGAAAAGAAUGGCAGAACAUCCCCAAAUCCAGGGUAUUGAGUGUAGAUUGAUGAGCUCAAUAAGGAUUGGAACAACAUUGACGGGGGGAAACACCCAAAGUCCAUCACUCAUGCACCGAGGAUCUGGCUGAUUACUGGAAAUUUGGAAGAUUGUUCUUUACCUGCACUGUCACUUCUGGUAAAUAUUCAUGAAGAAGAAAUAUACUUUAUUAAUCCCCAAGGGGAAAUUAGUUCUCUGCAUUUAACCCAUCCUUAGUUAUGAAGGAGCAGUGGGCUGCAGUGAUGCGCCCAGGAAGCAACUGGGGGUUCAGUGCCUUGCUCAUGGACACUUCGACUUGCAACUAAUGGGGAGAGCGGGGAUCGAACCCACAACCUUGGGGUUGUAGGACGGCCCUCUUACCCCACUGAGCUACAGCCGCCCACAAUUAUGGACCUUUUGUUUAUGUUUUGCUUUCACUUAUCAACUGAUAGUGAAUAAUUGGUUGAUUUUGAAAAUGUACAUUAAAUAAAAUGUUUUAAAAUCAA